UGGGCAACCUGCCCCUGACACUGGGAUAACCCCCGGGGAAACCGGAGCUAAUACCGGUUACUCCGGCUGGAUCGCAUGGUCCGGCCGGGAAAGGUCCGCCGGAGAGGGAUGGGCCCGCGGCCUAUCAGCUUGUUGGUGGGGUCAUGGCUCACCAAGGCGACGACGGGUAGCUGGUCUGAGAGGACGACCAGCCACACUGGAACUGAGACACGGCCCAGACUCCUACGGGAGGCA
rnacentral:rRNA from 1 species